UUCGUUUGUCACCCCUUGCAAUUUGUGUUGUAGGCCCUAUUAAGCAUACGCGUUGUGAACGUGAAUAGCCGGGAAUUAAGCAUUACAAGCGAUGUGCCUGAUUAUGUGAUCACUCACUGUCAUCCUUAUUCAUGGAAGCUCGCGGUGUAGUGAGCGUCACCACUUGACUACACUGGGAAGCGCAGUUGACCGCUAUUGGUGGUGACAUGGCAAGAGUGGAAAUCGGGGUGCAAGCCAAUGAGGAUAACCGGGCUGUGCACUUGAUCCCAGUGACCUGCCGUUUAGCACGUGCGCAAAAAAGAAAGAAAAAACAAUUUUUUUUUUGUUUCGGAACAUCCAUUUGGCGCUUAGAGUGCCUACACGAUCCAACACCUCAGCGCUACAAAAGAAGCACCAUGUUGACAGAGCUGGACGACCUGUGACUGCACCAUGCCCCUACUGUUUCGCCCAUCUGAGUGUCAAAUCCCUGUCGAGGCACAAGAAGGACAUGCAUGGAAGCCAAAAGAAAGUGCACAAGUGCUCAAUGUGCGACGCAAAGUUGACACGGCUUGACAAUCUUCGGCGGCACAUGAUGCUUCGUCACCGUUACCAGAAAACACACUGACACCACUCAGAAUAUGACUGGCAGUGACCAUUCUCACCCAGUCAAGGAAACCUCAGUUUCAAAAUCCCUGCUUGAGUGAGAAAACAAACACUGCAGCAAGGAGACACUUUGAAAGUUCCGAGCUUUACAUCAAAGUACCAUAAUGCUUGAAUUGCUUUUGUUCCGCAUUCAAGCAAAAACCUGCAGGUGCAGCUUGAUUUUAACUGCCAUUUUACAGCUAUCCUUACCUCCCUUUAUAAAAAGGGAGGGAGAUAAAGUGCAAAUCAGAAUUUCUCUUUUUUCUUAUGCUGUGUCCAUGAAAUCACGACAUUUACAUGCUUAGUAGCACCACCUUUCAUCAAAAUGAUUCUUAGAUGGUGUCGUGAAUACAAGAACUAUGUGAAACAAA